GCAGGAUUAGUUCAGUGGUAGAAUGCCAGCUUCCCAAGCUGGACAUGCGGGUUCGAUUCCCGUAUCCUGCUCCA
rnacentral:tRNA from 1 species